UACAGAGGUCUCAAGCGUUGUUCGGAUUUAUUGGGCGUAAAGGGUGCGCAGGCCGCUUGGUAAGUUUGGUGUGAAAUCCUGGAGCUUAACUCCAGAAUUGCACUGAAUACUGCCGUGCUAGAGGACUGGAGAGGAGAUUGGAAUUCACGGUGUAGCAGUGAAAUGCGUAGAUAUCGUGAGGAAGACCAGUGGCGAAGGCGAAUCUCUGGACAGUUCCUGACGCUCAUGCACGAAGGCCAGGGGAGCAAACGGG
rnacentral:rRNA from 1 species